UACGGGGGGGGCAAGCGUUGUUCGGAAUUACUGGGCGUAAAGCGUGCGCAGGCGGCGCGUUAAGUCAGGUGUGAAAUCCCCGGGCUCAACCUGGGAACUGCAUUUGUGACUGCACAGCUUGAGUGCGGCAGAGGGGGAUGGAAUUCCGCGUGUAGCAGUGAAAUGCGUAGAUAUGCGGAGGAACACCGAUGGCGAAGGCAAUCCCCUGGGCCUGCACUGACGCUCAUGCACGAAAGCGUGGGGAGCAAACAGG
rnacentral:rRNA from 1 species